AUCUCGGCACCCUGAACAAGCUACUACAUGGUGGACAGGAGCUGGAAUAACAGCUCUGCACAGGGCUGAGGAUUCAAAGGUGGCUUCUCUCCCUCCAGGAGACACGUCCAGGGCAUUGCAUCUUGCUAUCCUGCAGAUCCUCAACUCGCCCCACCACCCCGGAGCUACCAUCAAGCUCAAUGGACAGAAGCUCAGCCCUGCUGCCUCUCAAAACCCCACACGCCUGCCACCCUGAGCAGGACUCCACCGAUGGACGUCUCCUGAUGGCGGCUAAAGAAAAGGGGUCCUGUGCAGGAGGAGUUGAGGCAUCAUCACAGUUUGAGUUCCUUCGUAGUCUGGUCCAGUGUCCUCACAGAUCUCACAGGCUGGAGAGGUAAUCAAGCAUGAUCAGAGCCCUGGGGAGUUUCAGAUGAGCCCAGAUGCACCAAGAAGAAGGGGUGGCCAUCAGCAAGUCUUCAUGGAGUGGGCACCUUCUGAAC
rnacentral:lncRNA from 1 species